AUGGGAACGCGAAGAACCUUACCUAGACUUGACAUCUCCUGAAUUACUCUGUAAUAGAGGAAGCCCUUCGGGCGAGGAAGACAGGUGGUGCAUGGUUGUCGUCAGCUCGUGUCGUGAGAUGUUGGGUUAAGUCCCGCAACGAGCGCAACCCUUAUUGUUAGUUGCUACCAUUAAGUUGAGCACUCUAGUGAGACUGCCCGGGUUAACCGGGAGGAAGGCGGGGAUGACGUCAAAUCAUCAUGCCCCUUAUGUCUAGGGCUACACACGUGCUACAAUGGUGAGAACAACGAGAUGCAAUACCGCGAGGUGGAGCAAAACUUCAAAACUCAUCUCAGUUCGGAUUGUAGGCUGAAACUCGCCUACAUGAAGUUGGAGUUGCUAGUAAUCGCGAAUCAGAAUGUCGCGGUGAAUACGUUCCCGGGUCUUGUACACA
rnacentral:rRNA from 1 species